rnacentral:rRNA from 1 species
AGGCACUGCCUGCCCAGUGACACACGUUUAACGGCCGCGGUACCCUGACCGUGCAAAGGUAGCAUAAUCACUUUGUUCUUUAAAUAGGGACUCGCAUGAAUGGCAACACGAGGGUUCAGCUGUCUCUUACUUUUAACCAGUGAAAUUGACCUAUCCGUGAGGAGGCGGACAUGAAAUAAUAAGACGAGAAGACCCUAUGGAGCUUCAAUUUACUAAUGUAACUAAAAAUCGUAUAAAUCCACGGACUUUAAAACUUCUAUGCCUGCAUUAAAAAUUUUGGUUGGGGCGGCCUCGGAGCACAAACAAACCUCCGAAUGAUCCAUGCCAAGGCCUCACAAGCCAAAGCGAACUAAUAUUCACAAUUGACCCAAUAAUUUGAUCAACGGAACAAGUUACCCUAGGGAUAACAGCGCANUUCUAUUCUAGAGUCCNUAUCAACAAUAGAGUUUACGACCUCGAUGUUGGAUCAGGACAUCCUAAUGGUGCAGCAGCUAUCAAG